UACAGAGGUGGCAAGCGUUGUUCGGAAUUACUGGGCGUAAAGGCGCGUAGGCGGCCUUCUAAGUCAGACGUGAAAUCCCCCGGCUUAACCUGGGAACUGCGUCUGAUACUGGAGGGCUUGAGUGCGGGAGAGGGAUGUGGAAUUCCAGGUGUAGCGGUGAAAUGCGUAGAUAUCUGGAGGAACACCGGUGGCGAAGGCGGCAUCCUGGACCGACACUGACGCUGAGGCGCGAAAGCUAGGUAGCAAACGGG
rnacentral:rRNA from 1 species